AGCGAACGCUGGCGGCAGGCUUAACACAUGCAAGUCGAGCGGGCGUAGCAAUACGUCAGCGGCAGACGGGUGAGUAACGCGUGGGAACGUACCUUUUGGUUCGGGAUAACCCAGGGAACUUGGGCUAAUACCGGAUAAGCCCUUAUGGGGAAAGAUUUAUCGCCGAAAGAUCGGCCCGCGUCUGAUUAGCUAGUUGGUGAGGUAACGGCUCACCAAGGCGACGAUCAGUAGCUGGCUGAGAGGAUGAUCAGCCACAUUGGGACUGAGACACGGCCCAAACUCCUACGGGAGGCAGCAGUGGGGAAUAUUGGACAAUGGCGCAAGCCUGAUCCAGCCAUGCCGCGUGAGUGAUGAAGGCCCUAGGGUUGUAAAGCUC
rnacentral:rRNA from 1 species